rnacentral:lncRNA from 1 species
GAGUGUACGGAGGCAAGGAGUGUCAAGUAUAGGAGUAGGUGAUGAAAGAGAUAAUAGAAGUAGUGUUGUGUAGGAGUCAUGACUAAGAGAGAUAAGGUGAGGGGCAAAGAUGAGCCUGAGGUUCGAUAGGAUGGUGGGCUUGAUGAGGUCGAGGGUGUUAUAGCUAGUUGAGGCCAUGCUUGAUUUGAUAGAGCUGAUGCUCAAAGAUCUUAAUCCUGUGACGAAUAAGGGAGACAUGUUUGGAGAUGACAUAAAGAUUUUUAUGGCUAUCGACAGGGGAAGGGGAAUAAAGGGUAAAGAGGUUAGUGAAGACAAGAAAGAUGAUGAAGGGCGAAGAAGUUGAGCAACGCAUAGUAGGUGGUUCCUUUAUCAAUCUUGAAGAAAAUGCAUGAAGCCUAGCCAUCA